GACGAACGCUGGCGGCGUGCUUAACACAUGCAAGUCGAACGGAAAGGCCCUGCUUGCCGGGUGCUCGAGUGGCGAACGGGUGAGUAACACGUGGGUGAUCUGCCCCUUACUUUGAGAUAAGCCUGGGAAACUGGGUCUAAUACUGGAUAGGACCAUGCUGUAGGUGGUGUGGUGGAAAGAUUAGUUUCGGUAAGGGAUGAGCUCGCGGCCUAUCAGCUUGUUGGUGGGGUAAUGGCCUACCAAGGCGUCGACGGGUAGCCGGCCUGAGAGGGUGGACGGCCACAUUGGGACUGAGAGACGGCCCAGACUCCCACGGGAGGCAGCAGUGGGGAAUAUUGCACAAUGGGCGCAAGCCUGAUGCAGCGACGCCGCGUGGGGGAUGACGGCCUUCGGGUUGUAAACUCCUUUCAGCCAUGACGAAGCCCUUGUGGUGACGGUAGUGGUAGAAGAAGCACCGGCUAACUACGU
rnacentral:rRNA from 1 species